rnacentral:lncRNA from 1 species
UGCCCUGACCAGGGCCCAAAGGUCCCUCCAGGGCUGUCCAGGCUCUUCUGGCUCCCAUCCCUCCAGGGAUGUCCAGGUUGUGUUCCUGACCCAUCUCUCCAGGAAUGCCCAGCUUGUUAUCCUGUCCCAUCCCUCCAGGAAUGCCCAGCUUGUUAUCCUGUCCCAUCCCUCCAGGGAUGUCCAGGCUGUUUUCCUGACGCAUUUCCAGGUUCUUUUCCUGUCCCAUCUCUCCAGGGAUGCCCACGCUGUCCUCCUCACCCAUCCCAGCAGGAAUGCCCAGGUUGUUCUCCUGAGGCUGUCCAGCUUGUUCUGGUUCCCAUCUCUCCAGGGAUGUCCAGGUUGUUCUCCUGAGGUUCUUCUCCUGUCCCAGCCCUCCAGGGCUCCCCAGCUUGUUCUCCUGAAGUUCUUCUCCUCUCCCAUCUCCCCAGGCAUGUCCAGGUUUUUCUCCUGAGGUUCUUUUCCUAUCCCAUCCCUCCAGGGCUGUCCAGGCUGUUUUCCUGACCUAUCUCCAGGUUCUUCUCCUGUCCCAUCUCUCCAGAGAUGUCCAGGUUUUUCUCCUGAGGUUCUUCUCCUGUCCCAUCCCUCCAGAGUUCCCCAGCUUGUUCUCCUGAAGUUCUUCUCCUGUCCCAUCUCUCCAGGGCUGUCCAGGCUGUUUUCCUGACCCAUCUCCAGGUUCUUUACCUGUCCAAACCCUCCAGGGAAGCCCAGGUUAUGUUCCUGAGGCUGUUUUCCUGUCCCAUCUCCCCAGAGAUGCCCAAGUUUUUCUCCUGAGGUUCUUCUCCUGUCCCAGCCCUCCAGGGCUCCCCAGGUUUUUCUCCUGAGGUUCUUUUCCUCUCCCAUCUCCCCAGGGCUGCCCAGCUUGUUCUGGCUCCCAUCCCCAAGUCCCUUCCCUCUGUCAGCAGACCCCGAGUGCCCCUGCCCAGAGCCAUUCCCAGUGCCCAGAUCUGCCCCACAGCUGGGACACAUCUGGGCUGGCAGCUUCCAGGAGGAGCUGGCCCACGCCAAGGCAGGAGGAAAGGCUGGAUUGCUGCUGGGAGCACACAAACCCCAGCCCUGCCUGCCCUGAACGAGCUGUUUGGGAUUUUUGUUUGUUUUGUGGAGGCGUGUGGGCAGCCAGAGGCACUGGAGGGUGCAGUGUUGUUAUUUUGGCCGGGUUUUGUCCGCCUGUUCCUCGCCUGGGUCACUCCCUGCCGUCUGAGCCGGGCCCUCAAAGCUUUGGGAUCGUCCCUUUCCCGUCAGGGGUCAGUGUUCUUGGUUUUAUUUUUAAUUUUUGUCUCAAAUUAAAGGCUGCCAGCCUCCCUUUCCCACAGGGCUGGCUUGCAGCUGUUCUGGGGACAGAUUUGGCACCGCCUGCGCCACUUCCAGAAACACUUCUGGGGUCUGGACUUCCCGCCCUGAGCUCUGAGGCUGCAGCAGGAAGGAUUUGGGACAAAAAUCCUAUUUUGAGUCCUGGAAUAAAUUCCCCUCUGCCUCAAGGCUGAAAACCCCUUUAUUUGGAAUAUUUUCCCUUUAUUUGGAAUAUUUCUUAUAUUCCCUUUAUUUGGAAUAUUUUCCCUUUAUUUGGAAUAUUUCUUAUAUUCCCUUUAUUUGGAAUAUUUUCCUUUUAUUUGGAAUAUUUUCCCUUUAUUUGGAAUAUGUCUUAUAUUCCCUUUAUUUGGAAUAUUUUCCCCUUUAUUUGGAAUAUUUCUUAUAUUCCCUUUAUUUGGAAUAUUUUUUUUUUAUAUAAAUGUGAGGAAGUUUCCCUGCACGGAGGCUGCCCUGAUGCUCAAAUAAUAGUUUUGAUAAUUUAAGUGCCUAAAGUGCUUCCACACUGAGCUUUCAGGUGGUGAGAAAGGAGCUCAAAUUCUUCAUUCAGGUGAAGGGGUUUGGUAGGAAAGGGCUCAAAUUCUUCAUUUCAGGUGAUUUGGUAAGAAAGGGCUCAUAUUCUUCAUUUCAGGUGAAGGGGUUUGAUAGGAAAUGGCUCAAAUUCCUCGUUUCAGGUGAUGGAAAAGAGCUCAAAUUCUUCAUUUCAGGUGAUUUGGUGAGAAAGGCCUUAAAUUCUUCAUUUCAGGUGAAGAGGUUUGGGGAAAAGGCUUCAAAUUCUUCAUUUCAAGUGAUGGGAAAAGGGCUCAAAUUCCUCAUUUGAGGUGAAGGGGUUUGGGGAAAAGGGCUCAAAUUCUCCAUUUCAGGUGAUGGAAAAGGGCUCAAAUUCUUCUUUUCAGGUGAGGGGAUUUGGGGGAAAAGCCUCAAAUUCCUCAUUUCAGGUGGUUUGGUGGAAAGGGGCUCAAAUUCUUCAUUUCAGGUGAAAGAGUUUGGUGGCAAAGGGCUCCAAUUCUUCAUUUCAGGUGAAGGGGUUUGGGGAAAAGGGCUCAAAUUCUUCAUUUCAGGUGAUGGAAAAGGGCUCAAAUUCCUCAUUUCAGAUUAAGGGGUUUGGGGGAAAGGCCUCAAAUUCCUCAUUUCAGGUGUUUUGGUGACAAAGCGCUCAAAUUCUCCAUUUCAGGU